ensembl:lncRNA
CACACCAAUUUGAAAAAUGACAACAAUUUCCUCAAGCAUCAACGUCUUCGACAGAAAACCAGCUCUUCAUGUCACACACAGCUGUGGUCCACUGGUGUUGUUCUGUUGUUGCGUUGUUGUUGUUGUUGUUUUGGUUGUUGUUUUGUUGUUGUGUAUAUUACCGGGAGCCCGGCCAGCCCGUGCAGAUUGUUAGCUAGCUAGCAUUUGUCCUGCAGUGAGGAAGCUCAUCGCACCUCCACAAACACACACCCACACACGCACUGAGCCACACACCCACACACACACACACACACACACACACACACUCUGAGACACACAGUCUGCACAGCCUGUGUGUGUGUGUGUGUGUGUGUGUGUGUGUGAGAGAGAGUUUACUUACAGAAUGAAGACACUGGUGAGGUCACCAGAAUCCACCGCGGGGAUCUCCCUCAGGCCCGGGACAGGACCGGUAGGGUCUGUAGGGUCUGUAGGGUCAGUAGGGUCUGUAGGGUCUGUAGGGGGUCAGUAGAGUCAGUGGGGUCAGUAGGGGUCAGUAGGGUCUGUAGGGUCAGUAGGGUCAGUGGGGUCAGUAGGGUCAGUGGGGUUAGUAGGGGUCAGUAGGGUCUGUAGGGUCAGUAGGGUCAGUGGGGUCAGUAGGGUCAGUAGGGUCAGUAGGGUCAAUAGGGUCAGUGGGGUCAGUAGGGUCAGUAGGGUCAGUAGGGUUAGUAGGGGGUCUGUAGGGUCAGUAGGGUCUGUAGGGGACCAGAUGACCAGGAGGUCUGUAGGGAGUCUGUAGAGGGUCUUGAGGGGACCAGAUGACCAGGUGGUCUGUAGGGGGUCUGUAGGGGGUCUGUGGAGGGUCUUGAGGGGACCAGAUGACCAGGAGGUCUGUAGGGGACCAAAGGGUCGGGUCAGGAGCGUACAAUCCACUCUUUGUUUAGGUCUUCAGUCUUCUUCUGUGCUCUGAUUGGCUGUUUGUGGUCUGAGGACCUGAGAGAGGCCUUGAGUGGGGGGCCUUGGGGAGGAGAUGGGAGGGGAGAGGGGACUGGAGAGAGGAAGGAAGAAGAAUAGAGAAGAUCCACCAAUCAGAGAUCUGGAAACACCUGCACCCCGCCCUCUAUACCUCAGACUGGGAGCCAAGACUAAGACGGAUAAUGUAAUGGUUUUAACUCUCUUUCUCUCUCUUUCUCUCACACUCUCCUUCUCUCUCUCUCUCUCUCUCUCUCUCUCUCUCUCUCUCUCUCUCUCUCUCUCUCUCUCUCUCUCUCUCU